rnacentral:ncRNA from 2 species
GGGUCCGGGGUUUGAUUUGUGAGAAGGAACCUCGGAGGAGAAAUUUAUUGAUGGUCGGGCCGCCAUCU